rnacentral:rRNA from 1 species
UACGUAGGGGGCUAGCGUUAUCCGGAAUUACUGGGCGUAAAGGGUGCGUAGGCGGUCUUUCAAGCCAGAAGUGAAAGGCUACGGCUCAACCGUAGUAAGCUUUUGGAACUGUAAGACUUGAGUGCAGGAGAGGAGAGUGGAAUUCCUAGUGUAGCGGUGAAAUGCGUAGAUAUUAGGAGGAACACCAGUAGCGAAGGCGGCUUUCUGGACAGUAACUGACGCUGAGGCGCGAAAGCGUGGGUAGCGAACAGGAUUAGAUACCCUGGUAGUCCCUGA